CAAUAUAGUGCCUGAGUAAAGGAUAGCUUUGAUGUAGCUAAUAAUGUAAGAAUUUACCUAUAUU
rnacentral:tRNA from 1 species